ACCCUCUCAGGGUCGCCCCUGGAGAGUUUUCAGUACUCUACCAGUCUUGACUAAGAAAGGAAGAGUCCAGCAGAGGCCUACCCAUUCCAUUCCUAGCUUGAGCAGUGACAAGCGAGUGGAAGGCAGUCUGCUAUAAAU